rnacentral:rRNA from 1 species
UACGUAGGGUGCGAGCGUUGCCCGGAUUUAUUGGGCGUAAAGGGCGCGUAGGCGGCCACGCACGUCCGUUGUGAAAUCGCCCGGCUCAACUGGGCGGGGUCGGCGGAUACGGCGUGGCUGGAGCAAGCUAGGGGGCAAUGGAAUUCCCGGUGUAGUGGUGGAAUGAGUAGAUAUCGGGAGGAACACCAGUGGCGAAGGCGGUUGCCUGGAGCUUUGCUGACGCUGAGGCGCGAAAGCGUGGGGAGCGGUCCGG